ACCUGGGUGGCUCAGUUGUUAAGCAUCUGACUGUGGCUCAGGUCAUGAUCUCACAGUUUGUGAGUUUGAGUCCCACAUCAGGUA
rnacentral:tRNA from 1 species